rnacentral:rRNA from 1 species
UACGUAGGGUGCAAGCGUUGUCCGGAAUUAUUGGGCGUAAAGAGCUCGUAGGCGGUCUGUUGCGUCCGCUGUGAAAACCCGGGGCUUAACCCCUGGCUUGCAGUGGAUACGGACAGACUAGAGGUAGGUAGGGGAGAAUGGAAUUCCCGGUGUAGCGGUGAAAUGCGCAGAUAUCGGGAGGAACACCGGUGGCGAAGGCGGGUUGCUGGGCUGACACUGACGCUGAAGCGCGAAAGCCAGGGGAGCGAACGGG